AGAAAAGAGUACCCGACCUUGAUAGC
rnacentral:piRNA from 1 species